CCUACGGGAGGCAGCAGUGAGGAAUAUUGGUCAAUGGACGAGAGUCUGAACCAGCCAAGUAGCGUGAAGGAUGACUGCCCUAUGGGUUGUAAACUUCUUUUAUAAAGGAAUAAAACGAGGCACGUGUGCCUUUUUGCAUGUACUUUAUGAAUAAGGAUCGGCUAACUCCGUGCCAGCAGCCGCGGUAAUACGGAGGAUCCGAGAGUUAUCCGGAUUUAUUGGGUUUAAAGGGAGCGUAGAUGGGUUGUUAAGUCAGUUGUGAAAGUUUGCGGCUCAACCGUAAAAUUGCAAUUGAUACUGGCAGUCGUGAGUACAGUUGAGGUAGGCGGAAUUCGUGGUGUAGCGGUGAAAUGCUUAGAUAUCACGAAGAACCCCGAUUGCGAAGGCAGCUUACUAAACUGUGACUGACAUUGAUGCUCGAAAGUGUGGGUAUCAAACAGGAUUAGAUACCCGAGUAGUC
rnacentral:rRNA from 1 species